AUGGACCAUGCCAAGGAGCCGUCUCCCACGCGGGCGUGGUGGUCGAGGGACACGGUGGCCGUGGUGACGGGCGCCAACCGGGGCAUCGGCCACUCGCUGGCCGCGCGGCUCGCGGAGCACGGCCUCACCGUCGUGCUCACCGCGCGGGACGGCGAGCGCGGGGAGGCCGCCGCCGCGCCGCUCCGCGACCGCGGGCUCCCCGUCGUCUUCCGCCGCCUCGACGUCUCCGACCCCGCCUCCGUCGCCGACUUCGCCGCCUGGCUCCGCGAAACCGUCGGCGGCCUCGACAUCCUGGUGAACAAUGCCGCCGUGUCGUUCAACGAGAUCGACACCAACUCGGUGGAGCACGCGGAGACGGUCCUCAACACCAACUUCUACGGGACCAAGCUGCUGACCGAGGCGCUUCUGCCCCUCUUCCGGCGAUCGCCGGCCACCAGCCGGAUCCUCAACAUCAGCUCUCAGCUUGGCCUUCUUAACAAGGUGCGCAACCCGUCGCUGAGGAGGCUGCUCCUGGACGAGGAGGCCCUGACGGAGGGCAAGAUCGAGGCGAUGGUGUCGCAGUUCCUGGCGCAGGUCAAGGACGGGACGUGGGGUGAGCACGGGUGGCCCAAGGUGUGGACGGACUACGCCGUCUCCAAGCUGGCCCUCAACGCCUACACCCGCGUCCUGGCGCAGCGGCUGCAGUCCGGCGGCGAGCGCGUCAGGGUCAACUGCUUCUGCCCCGGGUUCACGCGGACCGACAUGACCAAGGGGUGGGGCAAGCGCACCGCCGAGGAGGUGGCCGACUUCGGCGCCCGGCUCGCGCUGCUCCCGCCCGGCGAGCUCCCCACCGGCACCUUCUUCAAGUGGCGCACGCCGCAGCUCUACUCCAAGCUCUGA
rnacentral:rRNA from 1 species